rnacentral:rRNA from 1 species
UACGAAGGGGGCUAGCGUUGCUCGGAAUCACUGGGCGUAAAGGGUGCGUAGGCGGGUCUUUUAAGUCAGGGGUGAAAUCCUGGAGCUCAACUCCAGAACUGCCUUUGAUACUGAGGAUCUUGAGUUCGGGAGAGGUGAGUGGAACUGCGAGUGUAGAGGUGAAAUUCGUAGAUAUUCGCAAGAACACCAGUGGCGAAGGCGGCUCACUGGCCCGAUACUGACGCUGAGGCACGAAAAGCGUGGGGGAGCAAACAGG